rnacentral:rRNA from 1 species
GAACGGCUCAUUAUAACAGCUAUAAUGUACUUGAUCUUGAUAAUCCUACUUGGAUAACUGUGGUAAUUCUAGAGCUAAUACAUGCACCAAAGCUCCGACUAACGGACGAGCGCAUCUAUUAGAUUAAAACCAAUCGGUGUUUUCGCACACCGUCUGUUGGUGACUCUGAAUAGCUAUGGCUGAUCGCAUGGUCUUGUACCGGCGACGUAUCUAUCAAGUGUCUGCCUUAUCAACUUUCGAUGGUAGUUUAUGUGCCUACCAUGGUUGUAACGGGUAACGGAGAAUAAGGGUUCGACUCCGGAGAGGGAGCCUGAGAAACGGCUACCACAUCCAAGGAAGGCAGCAGGCGCGCAAAUUACCCACUCUCGGCAUGAGGAGGUAGUGACGAAAAAUAACGAGACCGUUCUCUUCGAGGCCGGUUAUCGGAAUGGGUACAAUUUAAACCCGUUAACGAGGAUCUAUGAGAGGGCAAGUCUGGUGCCAGCAGCCGCGGUAAUUCCAGCUCUCAAAGUGUAUAUCGUCAUUGCUGCGGUUAAAAAGCUCGUAGUUGGAUCUGCGCCUCAGGACCCGGUCCGUCCAUUGGACGAGAACUGGGCGCCUGGGCUAUACACUGUCGGUUUUCGCAGCGUUUCCUUCACCGGACGCGCUGUGUGGCCGGCGAGUUUACCUUGAAAAAAUUAGAGUGCUCAAAGCGGGCCUACGCCUGAAUACUCGUGCAUGGAAUAAUGGAAUAGGA